GGAAACUGGGGAUAUACCCCAUAGACCAGGAUGCUGGAAUGCCUCCUGGUUCAAAGGUCCGCCGCCUGAGGAUGGGUCUGCGGCCGAUUAGGUUGUUGUUGGGGUAACGGCCCAACAAGCCUUUGAUCGGUACAGGUUGUGAGAGCAAGAGCCCGGAGAUGGAUUCUGAGACACGAAUCCAGGCCCUACGGGGCGCAGCAGGCGCGAAAACUUUACAAUGCGAGAAAUCGUGAUAAGGGAACCCCGAGUGCCCGUAAAUUCGGGCUGUCCGCCAGUGCAAAUAGCUGGUGAAGAAAGGGCCGGGCAAGACCGGUGCCAGCCGCCGCGGUAAUACCGGCGGCUCGAGUGGUGGCCACUAUUACUGGGCUUAAAGCGUCCGUAGCUUGAUUGUUAAGUCUCUUGGGAAAUCCACCGGCUCAACCGAUGGGCGUUCAGGAGAAACCGGCAAUCUAGGGACCGGGAGAGGUGAGAGGUACUCCAGGGGUAGGAGUGAAAUCCUGUAAUCCUUGGGGGACCACCUGUGGCGAAGGCGUCUCACUAGAACGGCUCCGACAGUGAGGGACGAAAGCUGGGGGAGCAAACCGGAUUAGAUACCCGGGUAGUCCCAGCUG
rnacentral:rRNA from 1 species